GACGAACGCUGGCGGCGUGCUUAACACAUGCAAGUCGAGCGGUAAGGCCCUUUCGGGGGUACACGAGCGGCGAACGGGUGAGUAACACGUGGGUGACCUGCCCUUAGCUCUGGGAUAAGCCUGGGAAACUGGGUCUAAUACCGGAUAUGACUCCAUGACGCAUGUUGUGGGGUGAAAGCCUUGUGCGGCUAGGGAUGGGCCUGCGGCCUAUCAGCUUGUUGUGGGGUGAUGGCCUACCAAGGCGACGACGGGUAGCCGGCCUGAGAGGGCGACCGGCCACACUGGGGACUGAGACACGGCCCAGACUCCACGGGAGGCAGCAGUGGGGAAUCUUGCGCAAUGGGCGAAAGCCUGACGCAGCGACGCCGCGUGGGGAUGACGGCCU
rnacentral:rRNA from 1 species